GCUUACCAUGCAGUCGAGCGAUGAAGCUCCUUCGGGAGUGGAUUAGCGGCGGACGGGUGAGUAACACGUGGGUAACCUACCUCAAAGAGGGGGAUAGCCUCCCGAAAGGGAGAUUAAUACCGCAUAAUAAACAGCUUUCACAUGGAAGUUGCUUUAAAGGAGUAAUCCGCUUUGAGAUGGACCCGCGGCGCAUUAGCUAGUUGGUAGGGUAACGGCCUACCAAGGCGACGAUGCGUAGCCGACCUGAGAGGGUGAUCGGCCACAUUGGAACUGAGAGACGGUCCAGACUCCUACGGGAGGCAGCAGUGGGGAAUAUUGCACAAUGGGCGAAAGCCUGAUGCAGCAACGCCGCGUGAGUGAAGAAGGUUUUCGGAUUGUAAAGCUCUGUCUUUGGGGACGAUAAUGACGGUACCCAAGGAGGAAGCCACGGCUAACUACGUGCCAGCAGCCGCGGUAAUACGUAGGUGGCGAGCGUUGUCCGGAAUUACUGGGCGUAAAGAGUGCGUAGGCGGAUAUUUAAGUGAGAUGUGAAAUACCCGGGCUUAACUCGGGCACUGCAUUUCAAACUGGAUAUCUAGAGUGCAGGAGAGGAGAAUGGAAUUCCUAGUGUAGCGGUGAAAUGCGUAGAGAUUAGGAAGAACACCAGUGGCGAAGGCGAUUCUCUGGACUGUAACUGACGCUGAGGCACGAAAGCGUGGGUAGCAAACAGGAUUAGAUACCCUGGUAGUCCACGCCGUA
rnacentral:rRNA from 1 species